UGGUUCUGGCAUCGAUGAAGAACGCAGCGAAAUGCGAUAAGUAAUGCGAAUUGCAGAAUUUCCGUGAGUCAUCGAAUCUUUGAACGCACAUUGCGCCCAUUGGCAUUCCGAUGGGCAUGCCUGUUCGAGCGUCAUUAUCCUCUCUCAAAACCCCGCGUUUUGGUGUUGGGCCGCGUCGUUGAGACACACGACGGGCCUCAAAGACAAUGACGGCGUCCGUGGGACCCUCGGUGCAACGAGCUUCUCCGUAAGCACGCGUCGAGUUAAGGACCCUCGGGCCCGGUCGCCUCAGUUAUUUUUCUCAGGUUGACCUCGGAUCAGGUAGGAAUACCCGCUGA
rnacentral:misc_RNA from 1 species